rnacentral:tRNA from 1 species
AAGGAUUUAAGUUAAGCUCAAACUAAUAGCCUUCAAAGCUAUAAAUAGAAAGGUCUCUAAGCCUUA